CACAUGCAUGUGUACUUUACAGAAUAAAAGGCAGACUUUACGCAGGUUUUAAUGCUAAAUGAGAACAAGGCUAAAAGAAGUGAAAUCAACACUUUUAGUCAAAGUUGAGCUUCAGGCGAGCUGCAGGCAGUGCACAGCAUGAGAGAAUUUGGCUCCAGAAAGUGCCCAUGGGUUGACAGCUGAAUAAGAGUUUGAAGGCUUAAUGCCAGGAAGUGUUUAUCACUCUGGAUCCAAUACCCUCCCAACUCUCCCAAUGCAGGCUCCUGGACCUUGAAGGCGGAGAAGGCACCUCUGCUGCAAAUGUUUCAACGCUCCUCCAUCAUCUCCGUCCCAGAGGCUAACGCAGAUAAGAUGGCGAAAAAAAACGCACUCACGAUGAAAUGUUCUCUGAGCUGAUGCAGUCCUCCCGCACUGAAAGAGCUCAGCAGAAUGAUGGAGGCAGAAAACUGCAGCGUCCAGGAAAGCAGAAAAUGAAUGUGAGGAGAGGUGGCGGGAGCAAGAGGAGAGGUGGUGGCAGCGUGAUGAGAGGCGGCAGGAGACAAUGCUGAGGCUACUGGAGGAUCAAACGGAUAUGCUCCGGUGUAUGGUUGAGCUGCAGGAAAGGCAACAUGAGCACAGACUGCUGCUGCAACCGCUGUGUAACCACCCGCCCUCCUCCCCAAGCUCCAUAGCCUCCUCACCCAGAUGCCCAAGAACGCGGGGGAGGGGGUCUGGGCACCCAACCACUCCACCCCAGAGGGCUGCCCAAGCAACAGAAGGCUGGCAUUCAAUAAGUUUUGAAGUGCAGUGUGGCCUUGUCCUUCCCU